rnacentral:lncRNA from 1 species
UGUGGCACAUGUCCCAACAUCAAAAAAUUGAUACACUAUGCUAUAUUGUAUAAUGAAUUCCACUUCAUCAUCGUAAUGGAGGCCCAUUCACAUCUUCCUACUACCAUGCAUGCAUAAUUGCACACUUAACACUUAACACCUCCUCAUAUUCCCAAAAAUGGAACCUUUAUGUAUGGGUUCACACUUAUCACUUUUCCACUACACCCAAAAAUAGAACAAUUAUGUAAGAGUACAAUGAAGCCUAGCAUCAUGCAGGUGCUUUUAGGAUGACUUGUCUCAAUAAUGAGUAAUGCAUACUUAUCAAAAUCACUUCCCAAAACACAUGGAUAAAAUAACACUCAAAACAUAAUAGCACUUUUGACAAAGCACUUGCACUUUAUUAUGAAAAUACAUAUAAAAUACUUAUGAAACAUUUAAAAACUACUUAGGCCAUAUAAUCACAAUAUCCACUUACUAUAUUGAAAAUACUUUGAAAACACUUCGGAAACUACAUAGGCU